UACAGAGGGUGCAAGCGUUGUUCGGAAUUAUUGGGCGUAAAGCGCGUGUAGGCGGCUUUGCAAGUCGGGUGUGAAAGCCCUCGGCUCAACCGAGGAAGUGCGCCCGAAACUGCAGAGCUUGAGUACCGGAGAGGAUGGCGGAAUUCCCCAAGUAGAGGUGAAAUUCGUAGAUAUGGGGAGGAACACCGGUGGCGAAGGCGGCCAUCUGGACGGAUACUGACGCUGAGACGCGAAAAGCGUGGGGAGCAAACAGGG
rnacentral:rRNA from 1 species